GGAGAGGUGACUGAGUGGUCGAAAGUGCGCGCCUGCUAAGCGUGUGUGGGGAUUAAACUUCACCGAGGGUUCGAAUCCCUCCCUCUCCGCCA
rnacentral:tRNA from 1 species